rnacentral:lncRNA from 1 species
UCAUCUCCCAAUUUCGAAUUCCCUGUAUUCGAAGCGGAAGAAGAUGAUGUUGAAGGGAUUCCUGACGAGAUUUCCCGACUUCUUGAGCAAAAAAGAAGAUCACUCAGCUGCAUCUCGAGAAUCAGCAGAACAGCCAAUUGGGGCAUUAAUCAAAAUUAAAAAAAAAAAAAAAUAAAAGAGAAAAAAUCAAUAAAAAAAAAACAACAAAGAAAGAGAGGGUGCAAAAUCAAAAAAAAUCAAAAGAAAUCAAAAGAAAGAAAAAGAAAG